rnacentral:rRNA from 1 species
UGAGGAAUAUUGGUCAAUGGGCGCAGGCCUGAACCAGCCAAGUAGCGUGAAGGAUGACUGCCCUAUGGGUUGUAAACUUCUUUUAUAAAGGAAUAAAGUCGGGUAUGUAUACCCGUCUGCAUGUACUUUAUGAAUAAGGAUCGGCUAACUCCGUGCCAGCAGCCGCGGUAAUACGGAGGAUCCGAGCGUUAUCCGGAUUUAUUGGGUUUAAAGGGAGCGUAGAUGGAUGUUUAAGUCAGUUGUGAAAGUUUGCGGCUCAACCGUAAAAUUGCAGUUGAUACUGGAUAUCUUGAGUGCAGUUGAGGCAGGCGGAAUUCGUGGUGUAGCGGUGAAAUGCUUAGAUAUCACGAAGAACUCCGAUUGCGAAGGCAGCCUGCUAAGCUGCAACUGACAUUGAGGCUCGAAAGUGUGGGUAUCAAACAGGAUUAGAUACCCUGGUAGUCCACACGGUAAACGAUGAAUACUCGCUGUUUGCGAUAUACUGCAAGCGGCCAAGCGAAAGCGUUAAGUAUUCCACCUGGGGAGUACGCCGGCAACGGUGAAACUCAAAGGAAUUGACGGGGGCCCGCACAAGCGGAGGAACAUGUGGUUUAAUUCGAUGAUACGCGAGGAACCUUACCCGGGCUUAAAUUGCAGAUGAAUUACGGUGAAAGCCGUAAGCCGCAAGGCAUCUGUGAAGGUGCUGCAUGGUUGUCGUCAGCUCGUGCCGUGAGGUGUCGGCUUAAGUGCCAUAACGAGCGCAACCCUUGUUGUCAGUUACUAACAGGUUCCGCUGAGGACUCUGACAAGACUGCCAUCGUAAGAUGUGAGGAAGGUGGGGAUGACGUCAAAUCAGCACGGCCCUUACGUCCGGGGCUACACACGUGUUACAAUGGGGGGUACAGAGGGCCGCUACCACGCGAGUGGAUGCCAAUCCCCAAAACCUCUCUCAGUUCGGACUGGAGUCUGCAACCCGACUCCACGAAGCUGGAUUCGCUAGUAAUCGCGCAUCAGCCACGGCGCGGUGAAUACGUUCCC